UUGAAGUUUCAGGGACAUCAACUAGAAGCC
rnacentral:piRNA from 2 species